rnacentral:rRNA from 1 species
UACGGAGGGGGUUAGCGUUGUUCGGAAUUACUGGGCGUAAAGCGUGCGUAGACGGUCAUGUAAGUCGGGUGUGAAAGCCCCGGGCUCAACCUGGGAAUUGCAUUCGAGACUGCAUGGCUAGGAUGCGGAAGAGGGAAGCGGAAUUUCCGGUGUAGCGGUGAAAUGCGUAGAUAUCGGAAGGAACACCAGUGGCGAAAGCGGCUUCCUGGCCUGUUCUUGACGCUGAGGCGCGAAAGCUAGGGGAGCAAACGGG